rnacentral:rRNA from 1 species
UACAGAGGUCCCAAGCGUUGUUCGGAAUCACUGGGCGUAAAGGGUGCGUAGGCGGCGCGGAAAGUCAGGGGUGAAAUCCCGGAGCUCAACUCCGGAACUGCCUUUGAUACUCCCGCGCUUGAGAACUGGAGGGGAGACCGGAAUUCACGGUGGAGCAAGUGAAAUGCGUGGAUAUCAGGAAGAACACCCGUGGCGAAGGCGGCGUCUCGUGGAACGCAACUGACGCUGAGACGCGAAAGCGUGGGGAGCAAACAGG